rnacentral:rRNA from 1 species
GAAAGGUGGCCUCUACCUGUAAGCUAUCGCCUGAAGAGGGGUUUGCGUCUGAUUAGCUGGUUGGAGGGUAACGGCCCACCAAGGCGACGAUCAGUAGCCGGUCUGAGAGGAUGAACGGCCACACUGGAACUGAGACACGGUCCAGACUCCUACGGGAGGCAGCAGUGGGGAAUCUUCCGCAAUGGGCGAAAGCCUGACGGAGCAACGCCGCGUGAGUGAUGACGGCCUUCGGGUUGUAAAGCUCUGUGAUCGGGGACGAACGGUCCGUAAGCUAAUACCUUAUGGAAGUGACGGUACCCGAAUAGCAAGCCACGGCUAACUACGUG